ACGGUAGCAGGAGAAAGCUUGCUUUCUUGCUGACGAGUGGCGGACGGGUGAGUAAUGCUUGGGGAUCUGUCUUAUGGAGGGGGAUAACGACGGGAAACUGUCGCUAAUACCGCGUAGAGUCGGGAGACGAAAGUGCGGGACCUUAGGGCCGCAUGCCAUGAGAUGAGCCCAAGUGUGAUUAGGUAGUUGGUGGGGUAAAGGCCUACCAAGCCGACGAUCGCUAGCUGGUCUGAGAGGAUGGCCAGCCACACCGGGACUGAGACACGGCCCGGACUCCUACGGGAGGCAGCAGUGGGGAAUAUUGCGCAAUGGGGGCAACCCUGACGCAGCCAUGCCGCGUGAAUGAAGAAGGCCUUCGGGUUGUAAAGUUCUUUCGGUGAUGAGGAAGGUUGGUGUGUUAGUAGCAUGCCAACUUGACGUUAAAUACAGAAGAAGCAC
rnacentral:rRNA from 1 species